rnacentral:rRNA from 1 species
GAUGAACGCUGGCGGCGUGCCUAAUACAUGCAAGUCGAACGAAACUUCUUUAUCACCGAGUGCUUGCACUCACCGAUAAAGAGUUGAGUGGCGAACGGGUGAGUAACACGUGGGCAACCUGCCCAAAAGAGGGGGAUAACACUUGGAAACAGGUGCUAAUACCGCAUAACCAUAGUUACCGCAUGGUAACUAUGUAAAAGGUGGCUAUACUACCGCUUUUGGAUGGGCCCGCGGCGCAUUAGCUAGUUGGUAGGGUAAAGGCUUACCAAGGCAAUGAUGCGUAGCCGAAUUGAGAGGUUGAUCGGCCACAUUGGGACUGAGACACGGCCCAAACUCCUAAGGGAGGCAGCAGUAGGGAAUCUUCCACAAUGGGCGAAAGCCUGAUGGAGCAACGCCGCGUGGGUGAAGAAGGUCUUCGGAUCGUAAAACCCUGUUGUUAGAGAAGAAAGUGCGUGAGAGUAACUGUUCACGUUUCGACGGUAUCUAACCAGAAAGCCACGGCUAACUACGUG